AUACGGAGGAUGCGAGCGCUAUCCGGAUUUAUUGGGUUUAAAGGGUGCGUAGGAGGACGAUUAAGUCAGCUGUGAAAUGGAAGGGCUUAACCCUUUUUCGCAGACGAAACUGGAGAGCUUGAGAACCAGAGAGGAAAACAGAAUUCCUGGUGUAGCGGUGAAAUGCGUAGAUAUCAGGAAGAAUACCAGUGGCGAAGGCGGUUUGCUGGCUGCAUACUGACGCUGAAGCGCGAAAGCCAGGGGAGCGAACGGGAUUAGAUACCCCGGUAGUCCUGGCAGUAAACGAUGUAUGCUGGGUGUGAGACUAGCGAUAGUUUCGUGCCGAAGUGAACGCGAUAAGCAUACCGCCUGGGGAGUACGGUCGCAAGAUUGAAACUAAAAUGAAUUGACGGG
rnacentral:rRNA from 1 species